GAUGAACGCUAGCGGCAGGCUUAAUACAUGCAAGUCGAGGGGUAGCAAGAUUGUAGCAAUACAAUUGUUGACGACCGGCAAACGGGUGCGGAACACGUACACAACCUUCCUACAAGUGGGGAAUCGCCCAGAGAAAUUUGGAUUAAUACCCCGUAACAUAGCGAUGUGGCAUCACAUUGCUAUUAUAGCUUCGGCGCUUGUUGAUGGGUGUGCGGCUGAUUAGAUAGUUGGCGGGGUAACGGCCCACCAAGUCUACGAUCAGUAGCUGAUGUGAGAGCAUGAUCAGCCACACGGGCACUGAGACACGGGCACGACUCCUACGGGAGGCAGCAGUAAGGAAUAUUGGACAAUGGACGCAAGUCUGAUCCAGCCAUGCCGCGUGAAGGAUUAAGGUCCUCUGGAUUGUAAACUUCUUUUAUAAGGGACGAAAAAAGGUCUUUCUAGAUCGUCUGACGGUACCUUAUGAAUAAGCACCGGCUAACUCCGUGCCAGCAGCCGCCGUAACAC
rnacentral:rRNA from 1 species